UACGUAGGGGGCAAGCGUUGUCCGGAAUUAUUGGGCGUAAAGAGCGUGUAGGCGGCCAGAUAAGUCCGCUGUGAAAUCUCGAGGCUCAACUUCGAGCUGUCGGUGGAAACUAUCUGGCUAGAGUCCGGAAGAGGAGAAUGGAAUUCCUGGUGUAGCGGUGAAAUGCGCAGAUAUCAGGAAGAACACCCCGUGGCGAAGGCGGUUCUCUGGGACGGUACUGACGCUGAGACGCGAAAGCGUGGGGAGCGAACAGG
rnacentral:rRNA from 1 species